AGUGAACGCUGGCGGUAGGCCUAACACAUGCAAGUCGAACGGCAGCACAGUAAGAGCUUGCUCUUACGGGUGGCGAGUGGCGGACGGGUGAGGAAUACAUCGGAAUCUACUUUUUCGUGGGGGAUAACGUAGGGAAACUUACGCUAAUACCGCAUACGACCUACGGGUGAACGCAGGGGAUCUUCGGACCUUGCGCGAUUGGAUGAGCCGAUGUCGGAUUAGCUAGUUGGCGGGGUAAAGGCCCACCCAGGCGACGAUCCGUAGCUGGUCUGGGAGGAUGAUCAGCCACACUGGAGCUUAGACACGGUCCAGACUCCUACGGGAGGCAGCAGUGGGGAAUAUUGGACAAUGGGCGCAAGCCUGAUCCAGCCAUACCGCGUGGGUGAAGAAGGCCUUCGGGUUGUAAAGCCCUUUUGUUGGGAAAGAAAAGCAGCAGGUUAAUACCCCGCUGUUCUGACGGUACCCAAAGAAUAAGCACCGGCUAACUUCGUG
rnacentral:rRNA from 1 species